UACGUAGGUGGCAAGCGUUGUCCGGAAUUACUGGGUGUAAAGGGAGCGCAGGCGGGAAGCCAAGUCAGCUGUGAAAACUACGGGCUUAACUUGUAGACUGCAGUUGAAACUGGUUUUCUUGAGUGAAGUAGAGGUUGGCGGAAUUCCGAGUGUAGCGGUGAAAUGCGUAGAUAUUCGGAGGAACACCGGUGGCGAAGGCGGCCAACUGGGCUUUAACUGACGCUGAGGCUCGAAAGCGUGGGGAGCAAACAGG
rnacentral:rRNA from 1 species